rnacentral:rRNA from 1 species
AGUGAACGCUGGCGGUAGGCCUAACACAUGCAAGUCGAACGGCAGCACAGUAAGAGCUUGCUCUUACGGGUGGCGAGUGGCGGACGGGUGAGGAAUACAUCGGAAUCUACUUUUUCGUGGGGGAUAACGUAGGGAAACUUACGCUAAUACCGCAUACGACCUACGGUUGAAAGCAGGGGAUCUUCGGACCUUGCGCGAUUGAAUGAGCCGAUGUCGGAUUAGCUAGUUGGCGGGGUAAAGGCCCACCAAGGCGACGAUCCGUAGCUGGUCUGAGAGGAGGAUCAGCCACCCUGGAACUGAGACACGGUCCAGACUCCUACGGGAGGCAGCAGUGGGGAAUAUUGGACAAUGGGCGCAAGCCUGAUCCAGCCAUACCGCGUGGGUGAAGAAGGCCUUCGGGUUGUAAAGCCCUUUUGUUGGGAAAGAAAAGCAGCAGGUUAAUACCCCGCUGUUCUGACGGUACCCAAAGAAUAAGCACCGGCUAACUUCGUG